rnacentral:misc_RNA from 1 species
GAUGAAGAACGCAGCGAAAUGCGAUAAGUAAUGUGAAUUGCAGAAUUCAGUGAAUCAUCGAAUCUUUGAACGCACAUUGCGCCCGCCAGUAUUCUGGCGGGCAUGCCUGUUCGAGCGUCAUUUCAACCAUCAAGCCCCCGGCUUGUGUUGGGGACCUGCGGCUGCCGCAGGCCCUGAAAACCAGUGGCGGGCUCGCUAGUCACUCCGAGCGUAGUAAUACAUCUCGCUCAGGGCGUGCUGCGGGUUCCGGCCGUUAAAAAGCCUUAUUUACCCAAGGUUGACCUCGGAUCAGGUAGGAAGACCAGCUGAACUUAAGCAUAUCAAUAGCGGAGGA